AGCAGCCGCGGUAAUUCCAGCUCCAAUAGCGUAUAUUAAAGUUGUUGCAGUUAAAAAGCUCGUAGUUGAAUUUCGGGACCAGUUUGUUGGUCGUGCUUCGGUACGUACUGUCAUUACUGGUUUCUACCUUCUGAAGAACCUUGAUGUCAUUAAUUUGGUGUCGCGGGGAAUCAGGACUGUUACUUUGAAAAAAUUAGAGUGUUUAAAGCAGGCUUACGCUUGAAUACAUUAGGCAUGGAAUAAUGAAAUAGGACGUUUGAUUCUAUUUUGUUGGUUUCUAGGAUCGACGUAAUGAUUAAUAGGGAUAGUUGGGGGCAUUAGUAUUCAAUUGUCAGAGGUGAAAUUCUUGGAUUUAUUGAAGACUAACUACUGCGAAAGCAUUUGCCAAGGAUGUUUUCAUUAAUCAAGAACGAAAGUUAGGGGAUCGAAGACGAUCAGAUACCGUCGUAGUCUUAACCAUAAACUAUGCCGACUAGGGAUCGGAUGAUGUUAAUUUUAUAAUGACUCAUUCGGCGCCUUA
rnacentral:rRNA from 1 species